rnacentral:rRNA from 1 species
UAAGCGGAGGAAAAGAAACUAACAAGGAUUCCCCUAGUAACGGCGAGUGAAGCGGGAAGAGCUCAAAUUUGAAAUCUGGUGGCCUCAGGUCAUCCGAGUUGUAAUCUAUAGAAGUGUUUUCCGUGCUGGCUCAUGUACAAGUCCCUUGGAACAGGGCGUCAUAGAGGGUGAGAAUCCCGUCCUUGACAUGAACUACCAGUGCUCUGUGAUACAUUUUCAACGAGUCGAGUUGUUUGGGAAUGCAGCUCAAAAUGGGUGGUAAAUUCCAUCUAAAGCUAAAUAUUGGCGAGAGACCGAUAGCGAACAAGUACCGUGAGGGAAAGAUGAAAAGCACUUUGGAAAGAGAGUUAAACAGUAUGUGAAAUUGUUGAAAGGGAAACGAUUGAAGUCAGUCGUGCUCUUUGGAUUCAGCCGGUUCUGCCGGUGUACUUCCUUUGAGUGGGGUCAACAUCAGUUUUGAUCGCUGGAUAAAGGCUGGAGGAACGUAGUACCCUCGGGUAAACUUAUAGCCUCCUGUCACAUACAGUGGUUGGGACUGAGGAACGCAGCACGCCUUUAUGGCCGGGAUUCGUCCACGUACGUGCUUAGGAUGUUGACAUAAUGGCUUUAAACGACCCGUUUGAAACACG